CGCUCGAAGGCCCCCGUGGAGGAGAAGUCAACAGAAAUGUUCAUAAAUAAUCAUUAGCUAGCACUGGCACUACUGAUUUGAUUUUUACAGUGAUCACUACACCAUGGCAGAUGAUGGCGAGUUGGAUAACUAUAUUAUAAUCUAUCCUACUGCCAACGUGCAUUGGAUGAGCUGUUGAAGGAAACCAAUAGGGCUGGGUGCAAGCAGAAACCAUGGGUCCAGCCGGCUGGAUGAGGUGUCUGCUGCGCAGCACUAACAAGCGUUUCCUGCUCAACACCAUUCCACAGCGCCGCCCUGCUGGCCACUCAGGAGAACAGACAUCAAAGAGUAGGGGGCAGGACACCACCCAGAGACAAUGGGGGACACAGGGACAAAGACAAUCAUAGAGACAGUCGAGAACUUUCUCUUUUGUGUCCAUCUUUAAGACUAAGAUAGCAACACAGGCCAAGACAGCUACAAAGACAGAAGGGACAGAGACAAUGACAAUGACAGAGACAGCCAUAGAGACAAGAAACACCGACAUAAAAGAGCCUCUGGUCACAAAAGAGACUUUGUCCCCAAAACACACAGUCCCCAUCUUCUUCUAGACCAGGGUUUCCCAACCUCAGUCUUGGACCCCCCUAGACCAGGGUUUCCCAACCUCAGUCCUGGACCCCCCUAGACCAGGGUUUCCCAACCUCAGUCCUGGACCCCCCUAGACCAGG